rnacentral:rRNA from 1 species
UACGUAGGGUGCAAGCGUUGUCCGGAUUUAUUGGGUUUAAAGGGUGCGUAGGUGGCUGAUUAAGUCAUGGGUGAAAGCCCGCAGCUCAACUGUGGAAUUGCCUGUGAUACUGAUUAGCUUGAGUGCGGUUGAGGCAGCUGGAAUUGGUGGUGUAGCGGUGAAAUGCAUAGAUACCACCAGGAACACCGAUUGCGAAGGCAGGUAGCUAAGCCGUAACUGACACUGAGGCACGAAAGGGUGGGGAGCAAACAGG